GGAGUCGGCGCUGGGAGGUGUACAGCCCAACGUUGCAGAAGUGCGGCCGGAGCGGCCGGAGCUGGGGGAGCCUAGCCGGGCAACCGGGCACCUGUCCCCGCCGCCCGGCUGCCCGGUUGCACCUUCUGAUCCGGUCACACGGACCGGCACCCCCCAAAAAGACCAAAGAUAGCAGACAUAUUCCCGAUCCCCCUCAUUUCCUCCCGCUGGGUUCCCGUGUUCCCGGAUCCUUCCCUGACCCUCCAUUCUCCUUGGUCCCUUGAUUUCUCUCUUUGUUCGGAGUCCCCUCCAUACUCAGAGAUGCAGAGGUGCCCCGGGGUGGGCGCAAACGUGCCCGCAGGUUUCCCUGUGGCGAUGGGACAAUAAGACCGAACAGCAGGGGGACUUGGUACUCCAGAGUCACUGUGUGGUAGUUUCUGUCUAGGACGGAGGAUGACAGGAGCCUGAGACCAAAAUACCCCCACUUCUUACGCAGGCAGAGAGGGGGAAACGGUAGAGCAUCUCAAAAGCCCCCUACCUGACCAGUGUGUCAAAAACACUCAGUUCUCAGGAAUGAAUUUUACCCACUCAAAAGUUGAAAAUGCAGCUUUUAAGAUCGCAUCCGUGACCUGGCGCCAUGGCCACACUGUACUUGGAGACCUGGACAUUCACAGCUUAAAACUCCCCUUUUUCUUGUUGCACAGUUUUAAUUCAAAGAAGAUGCAGAUUUUGCUGCUAAUGGGGUUUAAAUCUGUUUAUCUCGUAGAAGGCAGUCUCGGAGAUGUCUCACCAAGGUUAACAGGCUUUCCCAUGGAUGUGUAAACAAUUCAAAUUAGGUUGAAGAUGACAAUUUUUUUCAUACAAAUUAUCUACCAAAGCACACCAUGAUAUCU
rnacentral:lncRNA from 1 species